UACGUAGGGGGCAAGCGUUGUCCGGAAUUAUUGGGCGUAAAGCGCGUGUAGGCGGUCCGAUAAGUCGGCUGUGAAAGUCCAGGGCUCAACUCUGGAAUGCCGGCCGAUACUGUCGGACUAGAGUCCGGAAGAGGUGAGUGGAAUUCCCGGUGUAGCGGUGAAAUGCGCAGAUAUCGGGAGGAACACCGAUGGCGAAGGCAGCUCACUGGGACGGCACUGACGCUGAGACGCGAAAGCGUGGGGAGCGAACAGG
rnacentral:rRNA from 1 species